rnacentral:lncRNA from 1 species
AAAUUUUGAUAGAACAUAUAGGGACAAACUUAAUAUUAACUGACCCACUAACCAAAGUUUUGACACCUAAGGAUUUUCAUGGGCAUGUUGGUCACAUGGGUCUUGGUUUUGAGAUUGCCUUUGAUUAGUUGGAGGUUUUUCUGCAUUUUUUUAUGUUCUAAGUUUUGGUACAAACUUUAUGUUAUGUUUAAUUUUCUGCAUAAAUAAAAACUUAUGAGGUACUAUAUUGUUAUAACAAUAUCAAGUUUUUUCUUAUGUGCAAAUAUUGUAAUUGUAA